rnacentral:misc_RNA from 1 species
AAGUCGUAACAAGGUCUCCGUUGGUGAACCAGCGGAGGGAUCAUUACCGAGCUUACAACUCCCAAACCCCUGUGAACAUACCUAUCGUUGCUUCGGCGGGACUGCCCCGGCGCCCAGCGCGCAGGGAGCUUUUCCGCCGCGAGACCUGAAACCCUGUCUUUACUCCAGUAUCUUCUGAGUGGCUUCUAAAGCAAAAUAAAUUAAAA